rnacentral:lncRNA from 1 species
ACACUUCAGUUUCCGCCUUCUGCUCACGGACUGCAGAGAAAAGACGCCCUUCAAAACACAACGCUGGUCAUAUUUGUAAGUAGAAUAGUUUAAUGAAAUGUCUGAUACUUUUUCAUCUCCUGUUAGCUUUUCAUGUCACAUAUUUGACUUGUGUUAUUAUCCCUAAAGUCCCAGAGAAAGGAGAGAGGAGCAGAGAUGAGUUUAACUGCAGCAGUGAGUGGAUUCAUCCUUCUCCUCUCUGUAUCAGGUACUUCAUAUCUAAAGCUUUUCCUCUUCACUCUGAGAAACCUGCAGCCUCUUUUUAAUUUGAUCAAAAACAGACUCUGCUUACAGAACCUGCAGUUUUUUCUCCAAAAUUCUGAUUGUAAUUUGCUGUAUUGAAAUCAGUUUUUGAGUUUUUUAGUGGAUACUAGUUUUGCAGUCAGGCUAGUGUCUCAGGGACUCAUUUAUUACAACACAUCUGCAACAACCCUGUCUGUUCCUCUUCAUAGGUGUUAUAUUUCCAUGCUGAUGCUGCAUUGACAGCACUUAUCUAAUCAUUGAGUAUUAGCUGCUGUACAGUUUCUCACCCCUUAGACUUCUGCAUUUAUUUUUAGAUACACACUUGACUGGGCAGCUAACUUUGCACAGAGAAAACUUUCACAGAACAGCACAAUCUGUCAAAUAAUUUACACUGUUAAUAAUGCUGUUGGGUUAGAGAAGUGUUCAUGAAUAUAAACAUCUGUAAUUUUUCAGUAUGGAUAAAUCUUCUCUCAGAUAUUUUGAUAAGUAGUUUAAAAUCUAAUAUCAAACAGAGAAAAAAGCUAAACCUGACAAAAAUAUCUUACAUGUGAUUGUUAUAUCAAGAUGAUGUCGGACUGCACCUCAAUGAUCUGGUUCAGAUUUAUUUAUUUCAUGUUCAGUCUUAAACUUUUCCUGGUCUGGUUAAAUUGACUGUGUUCUCUGAUUUUUGUGUUUUAGUGGUUCAGCCUCAGAACGGCUGGGAGGUGACUUACUCUACAGCUCAGAUCUGUGUCUCUAGAGGAUCAACUGUAGAAAUAAGCUGCAACUUUAAGUACCCAAAAACAAUGAAGAGGAAGCAGAACAAACUCUUAAAAACAUUUUGGUUUAUUAGGAAACGUGGUGAUGAGUUUCUAAACAUUGAAACAGACUCAGAGUAUUCAGGUCGUGUGAAGACCACGCAUGAUGGGACCAGAUCCACCCUAACAAUCACAAACCUGACAGGGAGUGACUCAGCUCAGUACAAGUUCAGGAUGGAGACAAGCUUUGACAAAUAUUUUGGCAGCGGAGGUGUGACCUUGUCUGUCAGAGGUAAAGUUUUCUCUGAAAUUUUUUCAUCUUUUAUCUUUUUUAAAAUCCUGUAAAUGAUUGUAUCAUGUGUAUGUUUAUGUGGAAAGUACUGACAGUUUUAUCUGAUCAGAUGUCCAGAUAAUGGUGAGCAGACCAGGUGGGCAUUUGCAGUUGAAGUGUCUCAGCCGUUGUCGUCAAGAUUUUCGAUACAUUUGGUUCAAGAACGGAGAGAAGAUUAAGAACCAAAAUUCAAAAGAUCAUCAACCAGACCAGAUUCUGAACACAGACAGAUUUUCCUGUGCUGUAGAAGGAUAUGAGGACUUCCCCUCUCCUUCAGUGUGUGAGUUUACCCCUCCCUUUCCUCUAACACAACACUAUCUGAUGGAGGUUUGAAAAUUUGGUGCGUGCCCUGACUCUCUGGUCUGUGGCUAACAUUUCCACUUUAAAAAACAUCUCAUAUCUGUGAUGCUCAGAGUAAAAACUCAAUAGUAAAGAGUUGUUAAAGGACAGAGAGCAUAAACCAAGUACAUCAGUGACUGAAAUGUUAACUGUAAAAUGUGUUUCUUCUUCAGAUGCUUUCGAGCCUCCCUCUGUGUCAGUGAGUUCCUCUGCUGAGAUAAUGGAGGGAAAAAAUGUGACUCUGACCUGCAGCAGUGAUGCUAAUGUAGAAUCCAGUUAUACCUGGUAUCAAAGAAAUGAACCUCGAUAUCCUCUGCGUCUCAGGAGAGGACCUCAGCUUGUCUUCAGCUCCAUCAAGUCCUCAGACUUUGGACAGUAUUACUGUGAAGUGAGGAACAUCUUUGGGACACAGAUAUCGGGGAACAUCUUGGCUGGUUUGACAUGUGUGUGAAACAUCACAGUUCAAACACAUUAGAAAGACAAUAAACUACACAACAAUACCUCAAAACAGUUUUAUCCUGUAUUUGAACAAAAAGCACUAAGACAAAAUUUCUUCUUUUAUAUGUUUAUUUGCAUGUUUUAAUUUACUAACUUUGAUUAAAUCCAUUUCCAGAUGAUCCAGAGCUUCCCUCUGUGUCAGUGAGUCCCUCUGCUGAGAUAGUGGAGGGUAAUCAUGUGACUCUGACCUGCAGCAGUGAUGCUAAGCCAGAUGCUAACCAUACCUGGUACAGAAGAAAUGGUGAUCUAAGUCCUCAGAGUCUCAGAAAAGGAAAUCAGCUUGUCUUCAGCUCCAUCCAGGUGUCAGACUCUGGACAGUAUUAUUGUGAAGUGAGGGGCAUCACUGAGUCCUCUAGGGAUGUCUUAGUCUAUGUGAAAUGUGAGUAAAGUCACAUUUAAAGGGCAACAUAAGGAUGAAAACCAUACACAACCAUAUCCCAGAACAUUUUUUUAUUCUGUUUCUUUGUCAUUUCUGUUUUUAUCCGUCUUCAGAUGCUCCAAAGUUCUCUUAUGUGUCUGUGAGUCCCUCUUCUGAGAUAGUGGAGGGCAGUUCAGUGACUCUGACCUGUAUCAGUUACGCCAACCCAGCACCACGUUCCACCUGGUACAAGGAGAACAACACCACGUUUCAUUCAACAGGAGGAAUUUAUACUUUUCUCAACAUCAGCCAUCUGGACAGAGGGAGAUACAACUGCAGAUCUGAGAAUCAAUAUGGAUCACAUGUAUCUCCCCCUCUCUCACUGGAUAUCCAGUGUGAGUAGAAGACAUUACAAAGUUAGAUCACCUGGUACAAAACUCUUCUUAAUGGCUUAAGUCUCCAUGUAAAGUUCUCUUUCGAUCUCCUCCAGAUGCUCCAAAACGUCCCUCUGUGUCAGUGAGUCCCUCUGCUGAGAUAGUGGAGGGUAGUUCAGUAAAUCUGACCUGCAGCAGUGAUGCUAACCCUGCAGCUACUUAUACCUGGUACAAAGAGAGUGAAGACUCAGCAAACGCUUCAGGACAGACCCUCACCAUCACUGAGUUCAGAGCUCAUCACAGUGGGAAUUAUUACUGUGAAGCCCGAAACAAAAUAGGACGCCAGAAAUCCAGCCCACAUCAGAUCGUUGCGGCAGGUGAGAUAUUUACACACCUGCACACAGAGAGCUUACCCAGAAUACUCAAAGCAGCUCAUGAUAUGUUUAAUUAAUUAAUUUUUUCCUUCACAAACAUGUUUUCUCUGAAUCAGAUCUUAAAACUGACUAAAGUGAAUAAUUCAUGGAGGGACCUCCAUGUCAGAUUCUGGCUCAACAGAGUCUCAGACAGAGCUAAAGAUAUAGACCAGUCUGAUUCUGUUAGUAAUGUGUCUCACAUAUCUCUCUUCUUUCAUUCAAGGGAAAUCAACAAUAACAACCAUAAUUAGCAUCAGGUUGACCCUGUUCUUUUUGAUGUUAAUUCCACCACUUCUUGUGAUUCUGUUGACAAGGUAAAACCAUAAAACUCCAUCAAUUCAAACACGUUUCUUUUAUGAUCCUCUUCACUUGGUUCAUAGUUUAAUUUCUUUUCUCUCUAUUAUUGUAAAACUAACUUUUCUCAAAUGUAAUAAUCCAGGAAGAAGAAACCUCUGAGCUCCAACACUGAACCAAGUGAACCUGCAGAGAUGAUAGAGGUGAGACCGACUGCUGACAAAACAUCUUUACAGACCUGUUCAAAGAUGUCAGGAUCAAAGUUUCAAAAUGGGACUAAAAUACUUUCAAAGAUGAUCAACUCUCUUCAUCUGUCCUCAGCUGGACUCUGCUCAUGAGAAUGAGAAAGUCUCAGCGGUCACUGCAGCACAGACUGAAGACAUAGAGGAGCAGGAAGACAGGGUGUAAAGUCCAGUCAGGGUGGGGUGUCUCCAGUGGUGCUGAUGGUCUACUGGUCCCAUAACUGGACUAGAGUCCCCUGUUGAGCGGUUGCUGGUUCAACUCCCGCCCAUGAUCCUUUGCUGCACAUGUUCUCUCAGUCAAAAAUAAGACGUUUCAAACUCUUACUUUUGUCAUGUUGGUUAAGUUUCCUUUAUUUUUGCACAUUCAUGUUUUGUUUCAUGUCAUGUAUUUCCUGUUUUAUUUUGUAGUUCACCAACUCUUGUUUCUGUCUUCUAGCUUUGUUCCUGUCUGGUCUGCCCUCGUUUUGUCACACCUGCUGCCUGAUUGUGUUUCCCCACCUGUUCCCCAUCACCCUCACUACCUCUUGUAUUUAAUCUCAUGCAUCUCACUUUCUCAUCACCAGUUCGUUGCACUCUAUAGUCACGUUCCAGCAUUAUGCAUAGUUUUAGUCAAGUCAUGUAUUACCUUUGCCUGCUUUAUUUUUGACCUUGCCGUUUUACAAUAAAUCCUUGUCUUUUGGACCAACUGA